UCCCUCUGGAGUUAAACAAAAGAAAUGUUGACACCUACAGCUGUGAGGCUUCCAACCCUGCUGACUCAAAACCAACUCCGCUCAACAUUGAAACGCUCUGCCCUCAAUUGUCCUCACGCUCUGCUCUCAAAGGGUCUGGUCGCAAUCCUGUCCCAAUCGCACUGGUUACAUUGUUAGCAUUUGGGAUAAUAAGUGGUGGUAUAUUCUGGGCAGUUAAAAUAAUAAAAUGUGGAGCCUGCAAGCAAAGAGAAGAAGAAGGAUGCUGAUGUGAACUUUCAGAGAUC